GGGCCCGCACAAGCGGUGGAGCAUGUGGUUUAAUUCGAUGAUACGCGAGGAACCUUACCAGGGCUUAAAUGUAAGUUGCAUGGAUCAGAGAUGAUCCUUUCUUCGGACCACUUACAAGGUGCUGCAUGGUUGUCGUCAGCUCGUGCCGUGAGGUGUCAGGUUAAGUCCUAUAACGAGCGCAACCCCUAUCUUUAGUUGCUAACAGGUUAAGCUGAGGACUCUAGAGAGACUGCCGGUGCAAACCGAGAGGAAGGUGGGGAUGACGUCAAAUCAUCACGGCCCUUACGUCCUGGCUACACACGUGCUACAAUGGUAGAGACAAAGGGCAGCCACCAGGCGACUGG
rnacentral:rRNA from 1 species